rnacentral:rRNA from 1 species
GAUGAACGCUGGCGGCGUGCCUAAUACAUGCAAGUCGAGCGAACAGAUGAGGAGCUUGCUCCUCUGACGUUAUAGGCGGACGGGUGCGGAACACGUGGAUAACCUACCUAUAAGACUGGGGUAACUUCGGGAAACCGUAGCUAAGACCGAAUAAUAUAUUGAACCGCAUUGGUCAAGAGUGAAAGACGGUUUUGCUGACACUUAUAGAUUGAUCAGGGCCGCAUUCGCUUGUUGGUAAGGUAACGGCUUACCAAGGCAACGACGCGUAGCCGCCCUGAGAGGGUGGUCGGACACCCUGGAUCUGAGACUCGGUCCCGACUCCUACGGGAGGCCGCAGUAGGGACUCUUCCGCGAUGGGCGAAAGCCUGACGGAGCACCGCCGCCUGAGUCAUGAUGGUCCUCUGAUCGUAGAGCUCUGUUAUUAGGGAAGAACAAAUGUGUAAUUACCUAUGCUCGUCUUGACGGUACCUAAUCAGAAAGCCCCGGCUAACUCCGUG